rnacentral:lncRNA from 1 species
AAAAAUACAAGAAAUGGCACAACCUAUUGAAAAUGCUUUUUUGACAUCGAUUUCAAAUCUCAGUUAUCUCCGUCAAACUCUGUUUGCUGAGAUGUACACAAAAGCUGAUGUGGAGACUGAAAAAAUAAAAAAUAUACACGUGACAUUAAAAUAUAUAUUAUAUUUACAAUUAAAAAUUAAAUAAAAAAAAAGAUUAUGUCUUCAUCUCCUCCAUCCACCUCCUCCCAUCA